rnacentral:lncRNA from 1 species
CUAGCACCUGGGAAGGGCAGGCGGCGUGUGCACCUGCCGGGGGUGGGCUGUCGAGCCUUACUUUCCUCGCGAUACAGCUGCGCUCCAGCCAGCGUGCUGGGUUUGGGGUUUUGCUAUGCUAAUACCUGGGAAUCGAGCAGGUUUCAGCCUUUCUGGAGCCGUAGAAACACCUAGAGCUGUCUUAGACUUGCGCUGUGGAAUUAGAGACUUGCCAGAUGCAGCGUGCAGGUACUAGCUUUUUAAGAAGAAGAAAAUAUAUUUUCUCCUACUUUAAGCAAAACUGUGCAAGGGUCCCUGGCAAAGAUUUCCUUCGGACACUCUAUUACAAGGCACAAGAGUCCUGAUCUCCUGAUAACCAGCGGAUGGGCGGAAUUUUGAAUCUCUGGCUCUUCUGUGAUCUACAAGAGGCGGGGAAUAUCGAAAUUG